AGUGAACGCUGGCGGCAGGCCUAACACAUGCAAGUCGAACGGCAGCACAGGAGAGCUUGCUCUCUGGGUGGCGAGUGGCGGACGGGUGAGGAAUACAUCGGAAUCUACUUUUUCGUGGGGGAUAACGUAGGGAAACUUACGCUAAUACCGCAUACGACCUACGGGUGAAAGCAGGGGAUCUUCGGACCUUGCGCGAUUGAAUGAGCCGAUGUCGGAUUAGCUAGUUGGCGGGGUAAAGGCCCACCAAGGCGACGAUCCGUAGCUGGUCUGAGAGGAUGAUCAGCCACACUGGAACGGAGACACGGUCCAGACUCCUACGGGAGGCAGCAGUGGAGAAUAUUGGACAAUGGGCGCAAGCCUGAUCCAGCCAUACCGCGUGGGUGAAGAAGGCCUUCGGGUUGUAAAGCCCUUUUGUUGGGAAAGAAAUCCAGCUGGCUAAUACCCGGUUGGGAUGACGGUACCCAAAGAAUAAGCACCGGCUAACUUCGUGCCAGCAGCCGCGGUAAAAC
rnacentral:rRNA from 1 species